rnacentral:rRNA from 1 species
GACGAACGCUGGCGGCGUGCUUAACACAUGCAAGUCGAACGGAAAGGCCCUGCUUUUGUGGUGUGCCCGAGUGGCGAACGGGUGAGUAACACGUGAGUAACCUGCUCUUGACUUUCGGAUAACUUCAGGAAACUGGGGCUAAUACCGGAUAGGAGCUCCCGCUGCAUGGUGGGGGUGGGAAAGUUUCGGCGGUUGGGGAUGGACUGGCGGCUUAUCAGCUUGUUGGUGGGGUAGUGGCUUACCAAGGCUUUGACGGGUAGCCGGCCUGGGAGGGUGACCGGCGUCAUGGGGACUGCGGUAGGCCGCAGUCGGCAAUGGGGGGCAACAGGGGCGAGUAUGGCCCAGUGAGAGGAAGCCUGAGACGACGGCGCCGCGGGCGGAAUGACGGCCUUCGGGUUAUGAACCGCUUUCGCCUGAGACGAAGCGGGAGUGACGGUAAUGAGUAAAGAAGCACCGGCUAACUACGUG